AGUGAAAGAAGUUGCAGCAUUCACCAGCAGCCAAGCAGACUGUCUUAGAAAGACAAUUUCCAGCACACUGAAAUUGAACUCCGCAUCCAGAUGGCAGAGAAGCCUAAAUUUUGUCCAUGCGACCUUGGAGAUAAGUUUGACUAUCAACCUCUUGGGUGUGAAGUGUCCAUCGAGCAUAUUAAUGCCUACGUGAUGAAGCCUCCUGUUCAGACCGACACAGCUGUGCUUGUGAUUCAUGACAUAUUUGGAUGGCAACUCCCAAAUAUCAGAUAUAUUGCUGAUUUGGUUGCUUCCAAUGGAUACAUGAGACCUUUGGCACAGCUUCCCACAUCAGGAAAUGUUCUCUUGCUAUGCGCUGUAGUGAAAUCCACAGAGUGUUUGCACUUACGUAGGAUAGUUAUGCAAUUUGUGGACAUGCCUCAGCAUUCAUCCAGAUCAACCACUCCGCAAAGCAUGUAUUUUAAAUUAAUGCCAAUAAAAUAGCUUCUGCUUGUAGCAUAUUGUGAAUGUAUCCUUUCUAUCCUGAUUGCACUACAUUUUUCCUAUUUAUCCAGUUUAACAACUCCAUUGUUUAAGACAUGUUAUUGUUUCUUUCUCCCAUAGAAUUUUUGUAAGGGUGAGGGA